UACGGAGGUGGCAAGCGUUGCUCGGAAUCACUGGGCGUAAAGGGCGCGUAGGCGGGGAGGUAAGUCGGGUGUGAAAUCCCUCGGCCCAACCGAGGAACUGCGCCCGAGACUGCUUCUCUUGAGUCCCGGAGAGGAAGGUGGAAUUCCCGGUGUAGCGGUGAAAUGUGUAGAGAUCGGGAGGAACACCGGUGGCGAAGGCGGCCUUCUGGACGGUGACUGACGCUGAGGCGCGAAGGCCAGGGGAGCAAACGGG
rnacentral:rRNA from 1 species